UUAUCUAAAUUAUGGAUCAAUUUGAGUUGGCUAUCUCACAUUUCAAAAUUUUUUAUUUUACCAUCGAACUUUUCAAUUUCUUUUAUUUGAGUUAGUCAACGGUAUUUUCACUUUAAAAGUUAAGCUCACUGUUUACUAUAAUAAAUUUAGCAUUUUGAGAAUUGUACGAAGUACACUAGCUAAAUCGGGAAAAAAAAAUAUUGAUGGAUUUAAAUUCUAAAAUCAAAAUAUUGUUAAUCAAAUCAAAGCAAAUAAAUUGAAAGAUUAGUUAGUAAAAUUAAAAUUUUAAAAAACUGAAUAAACAACUGAAAAUGAUAUAUAUUUUUGAUAGGUUUGUAAGUUUUUACCUAAAAUAAAAAAUAAAAAAUAAAAAAAAGCUAAAAAACAAAAUUUUGAGCGUUUAUUUUAAAAAAUCCUCAAUAGAAAAGUUGUUUCUCCGUCAAUUCUGUGGAGUCAGAGAGGGUGGUUGGUUGGGUAGGAUUCGGUCCGAGUCGCCCGCGGUGGUGGUGAACAACUGACGGGUACGCUCUAGUCUAUUAUAUUAUACUAGUGAUGGCCCACGCUACGCUACGAAAAAUUUAUAUAAAAAUUUAAAUUUUAAAUUUUAAAUUUAAUUUUUAAUUUUUUUGUACAUGAUCCAUAACUAUACAAAUAAACAAAAUUUAGAACAGGGGAGGAAAAGGGGGAAAAUAGUUAAAGAAAAGAUAAUAUCAAAAAAAGAAAAAGAAAAGAGGGGAAAAAGAAAUAUUUUAAAAAAAUAAAUAGUAAAUUAUAUAAUAAAUUAUUAUAUAAUAAUAUAUAUAUAUAAAUAAAAAACUAUAUAUAAUAAAUAAAUAUAUAUUUAUAAAUAAAAUUAUAUAUAUAUA
rnacentral:lncRNA from 1 species